GACGAACCGUGCGAACGUUGUUCGGAAUCACUGGGCUUAAAGGGCGCGUAGGCGGGCUGCCAAGUCUGGGGUGAAAUCCCACGGCUCAACCGUGGAACUGCCUCGGAUACUGGCGGCCUCGAGGGAGGUAGGGGCGUGCGGAACUGUGGGUGGAGCGGUGAAAUGCGUUGAUAUCCACAGGAACUCCGGUGGCGAAGGCGGCACGCUGGACCUUUUCUGACGCUGAGGCGCGAAAGCUAGGGGAGCAAACGGG
rnacentral:rRNA from 1 species